rnacentral:rRNA from 1 species
ACUCCUACGGGAGGCAGCAGUGGGGAAUAUUGCACAAUGGGCGCAAGCCUGAUGCAGCCAUGCCGCGUGUAUGAAGAAGGCCUUCGGGUUGUAAAGUACUUUCAGCAGUGAGGAAGGUGGGUAUGUUAAUAGCAUAUUCAUUUGACGUUAGCUGCAGAAGAAGCACCGGCUAACUCCGUGCCAGCAGCCGCGGUAAUACGGAGGGUGCGAGCGUUAAUCGGAAUUACUGGGCGUAAAGCGCAUGCAGGUGGUUUGUUAAGUCAGAUGUGAAAGCCCGGGGCUCAACCUCGGAAUUGCAUUUGAAACUGGCAAACUAGAGUACUGUAGAGGGGGGUAGAAUUUCAGGUGUAGCGGUGAAAUGCGUAGAGAUCUGAAGGAAUACCGGUGGCGAAGGCGGCCCCCUGGACAGAUACUGACACUCAGAUGCGAAAGCGUGGGGAGCAAACAGGAUUAGAUACCCCCGGUAGGCGUAG